rnacentral:rRNA from 1 species
UAGAGUUUGAUCCUGGCUCAGGAUGAACGCUAGCGGCAGGCUUAACACAUGCAAGUCGAAGGGCAUCGCGGGGAGUGCUUGCACUCCCUGGCGGCGACUGGCGCACGGGUGAGUAACACGUAUGCAACCUGCCCUCCACAGGGGGACAACCUUCCGAAAGGGAGGCUAAUCCCGCGUAAAUCUCGAUGGGGCAUCCCAUUGAGAGGAAAGCUUCGGCGGUGGAGGAUGGGCAUGCGGCGCAUUAGCUAGUCGGCGGGGUAACGGCCCACCGAGGCGACGAUGCGUAGGGGUUCUGAGAGGAAGGUCCCCCACACUGGUACUGAGACACGGACCAGACUCCUACGGGAGGCAGCAGUGAGGAAUAUUGGUCAAUGGGCGGGAGCCUGAACCAGCCAAGCCGCGUGAGGGAAUAAGGCCCUAUGGGUCGUAAACCUCUUUUGUCGGGGAACAAAAGCGGGGACGCGUCCCCGUCUGCGUGUACCCGAAGAAAAAGCAUCGGCUAACUCCGUGCCAGCAGCCGCGGUAAUACGGAGGAUGCGAGCGUUAUCCGGAUUUAUUGGGUUUAAAGGGUGCGUAGGCGGCCUGCCAAGUCAGCGGUAAAAUUGCGGGGCUCAACCCCGUACAGCCGUUGAAACUGCCGGGCUCGAGUGGGCGAGAAGUAUGCGGAAUGCGUGGUGUAGCGGUGAAAUGCAUAGAUAUCACGCAGAACCCCGAUUGCGAAGGCAGC